CCUACGGGAGGCAGCAGUCGAGAAUCAUUCACAAUGGGGGAAACCCUGAUGGUGCGACGCCGCGUGGGGGAAUGAAGGUCUUCGGAUUGUAAACCCCUGUCAUGUGGGAGCAAAUUAAAAAGAUCGUACCACAAGAGGCAGAGACUGCUAACUCUGUGCCAGCAGCCGCGGUAAUACAGAGGUCUCAAGCGUUGUUCGGAAUCACAGGGCGUAAAGCGUGCGUAGGCUGUUUCGUAAGUCGUGUGUGAAAGGCGCGGGCUCAACCCGAGGACGGCACAUGAUACUGCGAGACUGGAGUAAGGGAGGGGGAAACGGAAUUCCCGGUGUAGCAGUGAAAUGCGUAGAUAUCGAGAGGAACACUCGUGGCGAAGGCGGGUUCCUGGACAGUAACUGACGCUGAGGCACGAAGGCCAGGGGAGCGAAAGGGAUUAGAUACCCUAGUAGUC
rnacentral:rRNA from 1 species